GAUUAACGCUGGCGGCGUGCAUAACACAUGCAAGUCGAACGAUGAAACUCAUUAGAUUUCUUCGGAAUGAAAACGAAUGGAUUAGUGGCGAACGGGUGAGUAACGCGUGAGUAACCUGCCUUACACAAGGGGAUAGCCUCUGGAAACGGAGAAUAAUACCCUAUGAAACCAGACAAUCGCAUGAUAAUCUGGUCAAAAUGUUUAGUGGUGUAAGAUGGACUUGCGUCUGAUUAGCUAGUUGGUGAGAUAAAAGCUCACCAAGGCAACGAUCAGUAGCCGGCUUGAGAGAGUGUACGGCCACAUUGGGACUGAGACACGGCCCAGACUCCUACGGGAGGCAGCAGUGGGGAAUUUUGCACAAUGGGGGAAACCCUGAUGCAGCGACGCCGCGUGAUUUAGAAGGCCUUCGGGUUGUAAAAAUCUUUUGUAUAGGAAGAAAAUGACAGUACUAUACGAAUAAGGGCCGGCUAAUUACGUG
rnacentral:rRNA from 1 species